UGGGGAAUCUUAGACAAUGGGCGCAAGCCUGAUCUAGCCAUGCCGCGUGUGUGAUGAAGGUCUUAGGAUCGUAAAGCACUUUCGCCAGGGAUGAUAAUGACAGUACCUGGUAAAGAAACCCCGGCUAACUCCGUGCCAGCAGCCGCGGUAAUACGGAGGGGGUUAGCGUUGUUCGGAAUUACUGGGCGUAAAGCGCGCGUAGGCGGACAUUUAAGUCGAGGGUGAAAUCCCGGGGCUCAACCCCGGAACUGCCUUCGAUACUGGGUGUCUUGAGUUCGAGAGAGGUGAGUGGAAUUCCGAGUGUAGAGGUGAAAUUCGUAGAUAUUCGGAGGAACACCAGUGGCGAAGGCGGCUCACUGGCUCGAUACUGACGCUGAGGUGCGAAAGUGUGGGGAGCAAACAGGAUUAGAUACCCGGGUAGUCC
rnacentral:rRNA from 1 species